GUUAAAACACCAGUUCCCAUAUGAUCAUCAAAGUUAAGGAACAUCAAGCCUGGUCAGUACCUAUAUGGGUGACUGCUUGGGAAUGCCAGGUGCUGUAA